AGCUUUGCGCAGCGGUGAUAUCGUAACCAACCACGUUCUACCGAGGUACGAUUAUUGUUAGUUGAAAACUUUUGCCAAUAUCCCGCUUCGAAGAUUUAAAAAACCGUCGGCAAUUUAAAACGUUAGAGUCAUGUA